CAAUGGCGAACUUCCUUUUCUGCUCGACACUGCCCAUUAUCGGAAGCCCGUACUGCAACAGAAGCCCAUCAAUUUUCCACUCCGGCAUCGAUUCGUAAUCCGAUUCAGAGUACUUUGGAUAGUGCAAUGGCAUUUGGAAGCACGUUUUCUCGUUCCCUUGAUAGCCACCACCAAUUCUUAUAAGUCGCGUUUUUCCAUUUGACUCCAUCUCGUUCAGAUUGUUACGCCUUUCGUACGAGUCGGAACUAUCCUACGCCUCUUUUUCAGUCUUAUGUUUGGAGCAAAAGCGUGAAACUGGUCUUUAUACACGGCAUUUCGUGCACAACAAGAAUUCUAGCGUUGAAAAG
rnacentral:lncRNA from 1 species